rnacentral:rRNA from 1 species
UGCCAGCCGCCGCGGUAAUACGUAGGGGGCAAGCGUUGUUCGGAAUCAUUGGGCGUAAAGCGGGUGUAGGUGGUUUAGUAAGUCAGAUGUGAAAGCCCUCGGCUCAACCGAGGAAGUGCAUCUGAUACUGCUUGGCUAGAGGGCGGCAGAGGGAGGUGGAAUUCCUAGUGUAGAGGUGAAAUUCGUAGAUAUUAGGAGGAAUACCGGCGGCGAAGGCGGCCUCCUGGACCGUUCCUGACACUCAGACCCGAAAGCGUGGGUAGCAAACAGGAUUAGAUA